rnacentral:rRNA from 1 species
AAGUACGGCCAUGUUACCCUGAACAAGCCUGAUCUCGAAAGCUAAGCAGGGUCGGGCCUGGUUAGUACUUGGAUGGGAGACCACCUAGGAAGACCAGGUGCUGUAGGUG